rnacentral:rRNA from 1 species
GACGUAGGGGGCUAGCGUUGUCCGGAAUCAUUGGGCGUAAAGCGCGCGUAGGCGGCCCAGUAAGUCCGUUGUAAAAGUCAAAGGCUCAACCUUUGAAAGCCGAUGGAUACUGCUGGGCUAGAGUCCGGAAGAGGCGAGUGGAAUUCCUGGUGUAGCGGUGAAAUGCGCAGAUAUCAGGAGGAACACCGAUGGCGAAGGCAGGUCUCUGGGCCACUACUGACGCUGAGAAGCGAAAGCAUGGGGAGCGAACGGG